CCCUGGGUGAUGCAGAUAGUUAAUGUAUUUGGCUGCUAACCAAAAGGUUGGAGGUUCAAGUCCUCCCAGAGGGG
rnacentral:tRNA from 1 species